rnacentral:rRNA from 1 species
GACGAACGCUGGCGGCGUGCUUAACACAUGCAAGUCGAACGGAAAGGCCCUGCUUUUGUGGGGUGCUCGAGUGGCGAACGGGUGAGUAACACGUGAGUAACCUGCCCUUGACUUUGGGAUAACUUCAGGAAACUGGGGCUAAUACCGGAUAGGAGCUCCUGCUGCAUGGUGGGGGUGGGAAAGUUUCGGCGGUUGGGGGUGGACUCGCGGCUUAUCAGCUUGUUGGUGGGGUAGUGGCUUACCAAGGCUUUGACGGGUAGCCGGCCUGAGAGGGUGACCGGCCACAUUGGGACUGAGAUACGGCCCAGACUCCUACGGGAGGCAGCAGUGGGGAAUAUUGCACAAUGGGCGGAAGCCUGAUGCAGCAACGCCGCGUGCGGGAUGACGGCCUUCGGGUUGUAACCCGCUUUCGCCUGUGACGAAGCGUGAGUGACGGUAAUGGGUAAAGAAGCACCGGCUAACUACGUG